rnacentral:sRNA from 1 species
UCAGUAACGGCGAGUGAAGCGGCAACAGCUCAAAUUUGAAAGCUGGCCCCCCCCGGGGGUCCGCGUUGUAAUUUGUAGAGGAUGAUUCGGCGAGGGCUCCCGCCUAAGUCCCCUGGAACGGGGCGUCAUAGAGGGUGAGAAUCCCGUAUGCGGUGGGCUGCCUUAGCCAUGUGAAUCUCCUUCGACGAGUCGAGUUGUUUGGGAAUGCAGCUCUAAAUGGGAGGUAAAUUUCUUCUAAAGCUAAAUACCGGCCAGAGACCGAUAGCGCACAAGUAGAGUGAUCGAAAGAUGAAAAGCACUUUGGAAAGAGAGUUAAAAAGUACGUGAAAUUGUUGAAAGGGAAGCGCUUGCAGCCAGACUUGUCCGCAGUUGCUCAGCCGGUCUCCUGACCGGCGCACUCUUCUGCGGCCAGGCCAGCAUCAGUUCGGGCGGUCGGAUAAAGGCCCCGGGAACGUAGCUCCUCUCGGGGAGUGUUAUAGCCCGGGGUGGAAUGCGGCCAGCCUGGACUGAGGAUCUCGCUUCGGCUAGGAUGCUGGCGUAAUGGCUGUAAGCGGCCCGUCUUGAAACACGGACCAAGGAGUCUAACAUCUAUGCGAGUGUUUGGGUGUCAAACCCAUGCGCGUAAUGAAAGUGAACGGAGGUGGGAACCCUCGCGGGUGCACCAUCGACCGAUCCUGAUGUCUUCGGAUGGAUUUGAGUAAGAGCAUAGCUGUUGGGACCCGAAAGAUGGUGAACUAUGCCUGAAUAGGGUGAAGCCAGAGGAAACUCUGGUGGAGGCUCGCAGCGGUUCUGACGUGCAAAUCGAUCGUCAAAUUUGGGUAUAGGGGCGAAAGACUAAUCGAACCAUCGACUACUAGGUGGUUAAGAGGUGGCUGAAAGUGCCCACCUAGUCCCCCCGUCCGAGGACGGGGGGGCGACAUCGCCAAAUUGCGGGGACUCCCUUAGAGCCUCUACUACCGCGGCCGGCCGAAAGGCGCGGUGCAGCACCGGGUUAAUUGCCUAGGGUACGGUAAAAAGGUAGAGGAUUGGGAAAUCCGCAGCCAAGCGCCUAAGUCCCGCGGGAUACGGCGAAGGUUCAGAGACUAGAUGGCGGUGGGUCCGGCCCGAGGGCCGGGC